rnacentral:lncRNA from 1 species
GUCCUUGGAGAGAUGGUAUUGGGCAGGGACAGGGCACGGGAACAAAGCUUGUUGACCUGGGACUCGGCGAUGUCCGCCCGCUCCUCUGCCUCAUCCAGCUCGUGCUGCACCUUGCGGAACUUGGACAGCUGGUUGUCACUGUGGCUAUGGUGCCAGGGCUCUGCCUGGAGUCACCGCCCGUCGCACCUGGUAGGUGAGCUCCUUGAUGCGCCGCUCGCUCUUCCUCAUGCCCUUCACCGACUCUGCGUUGCGCUUCUGCUCGGCCUCCAGCUCAUUCUCCAGCUCCCGCACCCGCGCUUCCAGCUUCUGCAGCUGCUUCUUGCCGCCCUUGAGGGCGAUCUGCUCGGCCUCGUCCAGCCGGUGCUGCAGGUCCUUAAUGGUCUGUUCCAUGUUCUUCUUCAUGCGCUCCAGGUGGGCGCUGGUGUCCUGCUCCU